rnacentral:lncRNA from 1 species
UGAGUGGGACUAACCUGCUGUCCUCUUGCCUUGGACCUUGUGUUCCAGCACUGUGUCAUGAGUCUCUGCAGCAGCAGCUACAGUGAGUUAGGACUGCAGCUGAUCAUCGAUGUGCUGACUCUGAGGAACAGUUCCUAUUGGCUGGUGAGGACAGAGCUUCUGGAAACCCUUGCGGAGAUUGACUUCAGGCUGGUGAGCUUUUUGGAGGCAAAAGCAGAAAACUUACACAGAGGGGCUCAUCAUUAUACAGGGCUUUUGAAACUGCAAGAACGAGUGCUCAAUAAUGUUGUCAUCCAUUUGCUUGGAGAUGAAGACCCCAGGGUGCGACAUGUUGCCGCAGCAUCAUUAAUUAGGCUUGUCCCAAAGCUGUUUUAUAAAUGUGACCAAGGACAAGCUGAUCCAGUAGUGGCCGUGGCAAGAGAUCAAAGCAGUGUUUACCUGAAACUUCUCAUGCAUGAGACGCAGCCUCCAUCUCAUUUCUCCGUCAGCACAAUAACCAGAAUAUAUAGAGGCUAUAACCUACUACCAAGCAUAACAGAUGUCACUAUGGAAAAUAACCUUUCAAGAGUUAUUGCAGCAGUUUCUCAUGAACUAAUCACAUCAACCACCAGAGCACUCACAUUUGGAUGCUGUGAAGCUUUGUGUCUUCUUUCCACUGCCUUCCCAGUUUGCAUUUGGAGUUUAGGUUGGCACUGUGGAGUGCCUCCACUGAGUGCCUCAGAUGAGUCUAGGAAGAGCUGUACUGUUGGGAUGGCCACAAUGAUUCUGACCCUGCUCUCGUCAGCUUGGUUCCCAUUGGAUCUCUCAGCCCAUCAAGAUGCUUUGAUUUUGGCCGGAAACUUGCUUGCAGCCAGUGCUCCCAAAUCUCUGAGAAGUUCAUGGGCCUCUGAAGAAGAAGCCAACCCAGCAGCCACCAAGCAAGAGGAGGUCUGGCCAGCCCUGGGGGACCGGGCCCUGGUGCCCAUGGUGGAGCAGCUCUUCUCUCACCUGCUGAAGGUGAUUAACAUUUGUGCCCACGUCCUGGAUGACGUGGCUCCUGGACCCGCAAUAAAGGUA